rnacentral:misc_RNA from 1 species
CCACCUGCCCAUCACCGCUGGUGGGCGACCUGGGCGUUCAGCAGUGAUUGCCCCGAAUGCAGCCGCGUUGCCAGGAUAUCGCUCGAUGUUUGGCAAUCGCAACCCC